rnacentral:rRNA from 1 species
AGCGAACGCUGGCGGCAUGCUUAACACAUGCAAGUCGCACGAAGGUUUCGGCCUUAGUGGCGGACGGGUGAGUAACGCGUAGGAAUCUAUCCAUGGGUGGGGGAUAACACUGGGAAAAUGGUGCUAAUACCGCAUGAUACCUGAGGGUCAAAGGCGCAAGUCGCCUGUGGAGGAGCCUGCGUUCGAUUAGCUAGUUGGUGGGGUAAAGGCCUACCAAGGCGAUGAUCGAUAGCUGGUUUGAGAGGAUGAUCAGCCACACUGGGACUGAGACACGGCCCAGACUGCUACGGGAGGCAGCAGUGGGGAAUAUUGGACAAUGGGGGCAACCCUGAUCCAGCAAUGCCGCGUGUGUGAAGAAGGUCUUCGGAUUGUAAAGCACUUUCGACGGGGACGAUGAUGACGGUACCCGUAGAAGAAGCCCCGGCUAACUUCGUGCCAGCCGCCGCGGUAA